GACGAACGCUGGCGGCGUGCUUAACACAUGCAAGUCGAACGGAAAGGCCCUGCUUUUGUGGGGUGCUCGAGUGGCGAACGGGUGAGUAACACGUGAGUAACCUGCCCUUGACUUUGGGAUAACUUCAGGAAACUGGGGCUAAUACCGGAUAGGAGCUCCUGCUGCUUGGUGGGGGUUGGAAAGUUUCGGCGGUUGGGGAUGGACUCGCGGCUUAUCAGCUUGUUGGUGGGGUAGUUGCUUACCAAGGCUUUGACGGGUAGCCGGCCUGAGAGGGUGACCGGCCACAUUGGGACUGAGAUACGGCCCAGACUCCUACGGGAGGCAGAAGUGGGGAAUAUUGCACAAUGGGCGGAAGCCUGAUGCAGCAACGCCGCGUGCGGGAUGACGGCCUUCGGGUUGUAAACCGCUUUCGCCUGUGACGAAGCGUGAGUGACGGUAAUGGGUAAAGAAGCACCGGCUAACUACGUG
rnacentral:rRNA from 1 species